GACAGAGGCCCCAAGCGUUAGGCGGAAUCACUGGGCUUAAAGCGUGUGUAGGCGGACGCCUAAGUGUCUUGUGAAAUCCCACGGCUCACCCGUGGAACUGCUGGGCAUACUGGGCGUCUUGGGCCAACUAGGGGCAGCCGGAACAAGCGGUGGAGCGGUGAAAUGCGUAGAUAUCGGGAAGAACACCCGUGGCGAAGGCGGUUCUCUGGGACGGUACUGACGCUGAGACGCGAAAGCGUGGGGAGCGAACAGG
rnacentral:rRNA from 1 species